rnacentral:rRNA from 1 species
UACGGAGGGGGCGAGCGUUAUUCGGAAUUAUUGGGCGUAAAGGGCGCGUAGGCGGCUUUCUAAGUCAAAGGUGAAAUCCCUCGGCUCAACUGAGGAACUGCCUUUGAAACUGGACGGCUUGAGGCCGGGAGAGGGUAGCGGAAUUCCCAGUGUAGCGGUGAAAUGCGUAGAUACUGGGAGGAACACCGGUGGCGAAGGCGGCUACCUGGACCGGUUCUGACGCUGAGGCGCGAAAGCGUGGGUAGCAAACAGG